GCGCAGAGGGCCACUCGAUGCCACGCCCCCGGCACAGAGAAUUGUGGGAGGCACAGGGGAUCCUGGGAGGCAUGGGGGAUUGUGGGAGUUACACAGGGCUGAGCACCUGCUGAGGAAUGUGGCAGCCCUUCGAUGUCUACUUGGCAGGUAUUACAGAGGAAGGACUGAGAGGAGAGACACUCAGUUGGCUGCUGGUGGAGGAGCCUGAAAUGGUCUCUCAUCCUGGGAGACCACAGGCCUAGUAAUGCCUCCUGCCCCCUCUGCAGCUGGGCCUGUAGGCUCCAUUUGCAGCAAAUCUCCUUCCUCACUUUGCUGGAGAAGAAGGACCCUGGCGUCAGAGGUUUGGGGCCGGCUCAAAGGGCAAGUCUGGGCCUUGGCCUGAGCCCCCAAGGAUUCCACUCUGCCUGAGUUCCCAGCUGCCUGGAUCCCAGCCUGGACUGGAUCAGACGUCAACAGGAUGGACAUGGCAGCCGCAGUCCCCGGAGGCUGGGCUGGGCUCUUCUCCCUGGCUCGGCCCCAGUCUUCUCUGUCCCUGGUUAACUGGCCUAGGAGCAGAUGACUUGUCUUCAGUUGCUUUACUUGGCCUGUGAUAGGCAAUCUUUCUGCCCAUUUCUCAGUAACAAAAUAGAACACCCCUCAUCUACUUGUGUCUUCCUUUCUUAAAUUCUGUAAAGCACUUGAUUGUUUGUUGCUUUGCAAGAAAAUAUAUAACUGAGGUAGUUUCUCCA
rnacentral:lncRNA from 1 species